UUUUUCCUAUUCAGUAACCUUAUCUUAUUCAGAGAGUUUGCCUGAACAAAAAUAUUGUUUGAAAUCAAACUGAUGUUAAGCAAGAUGUCUAGCUAGCGCUAACACGAGUGUAUGAUUUUAAAAUGUCACUUAUGAUUUAGGCUGAGACUUGAAUAACGUUAGCUCAAACAUUUAUAUAUUUACGUGCCCCGUCACCCGUGUUUUAUCAAAUGCUAACUGUUCUGGCUCAUCUGAGAAUUUAAUUAAGAGUAGCAGUAAGGAAGCGGCUAGCUAACGUUAGCUUAUGUUAGCUAAUGCAAAUACCCCAAAGUCAAAGUCAAAGUCUGGCAAUUGUGUAGGCAACUUUUUUUUUUCCCGCAUUGGCUGCAAAAAUGUUUCUCUGUCGGGUCUGUAGUCAUAACUGUGGCACAAUAUUGGCUCAUGUGAGGCACAUGAGAAUUCAUAGCAGCAGAUUAGCAGCAGAACAUGGGGUUAGGGAAUAAAAACAUUUCAAGCUACAACACAUAAAGAACAUGAACCAUUCACUCAAGAAUACAACAUAUAUGGAGUUAUUCUGCUUUUGAUGCUCUUGUCCGAUCUCUCUAUUUCUUCAAUAUAUUGUCUACUGUAUUCUUAUGCAGUAGAGCUGAUACUCAUGAUAUCAGUACCGGCGCUUUAUUGGUAUCAAUCCAGAGAGAGGAUCAAAGGCCAUCCGGGGCAAGGUUGUCUCCAAGAAGACUGGUGAGAUGGUCCAGAAGAAGACUGUGACAGUGAAUACACACGUCUCCACACUACUGAAGAACCUCAUUGACUUUGAAUGGGACUUCAUAUAGUGGCAACAAUAAAUCCAGUGAGAGGAACAACUAGCAAAGUGAUGAUCAUCUCUACCUGAACCACACUCUUCCUCUUUGAAUCAGGACUUUUCACUCCCACCCAGACUCUGAAGUUAAGUAAAAUAUGCACCUACCUCCAGGACUUUUUAAAGAGGUAAACAAGCCUACCUCACAGGACUAUUUUAGAGGUCAACAGGACUACCUCACAGGGCUAUUUUAGAGGUCAUAAAGCUUACCUCACAGGACUAUUUUAGAGGUCAUAAAGCCUACCUCACAGGACUAUUUUAAAAAGGUAAACAAUACCAUACCUACAAUUGUUUCUCAAAUUUUGCUUUUGAUGUAUAUUUUUAAAAAUGUCUUUGAUGUUUCGCUUCAGAAUAGUCUAAAUACACAUUUCAAAAUGUUCUUAAUAGUAGAGUUUGUUUUCCAAAUGUUGCUAGAGUCAAGUUCAUGUUGGUGAGUAUUUCACCUAUAAUUAAUACUGUUACAACUACAAAUUCAUAUACAUAUAAAUACAUCUUAUGUCUCCAGGUGUUUUCUCGUUUGGUACAGGGACAGUCUGACAUGCAAUUUAAGAAAAAAAUCCUAUUGAUUUGAGCGGACUAGGCACUUUUUAUUUUGUUACUCAAAUCUCUUUUGGUUUGUUUCUCUGGGUCAUCAAUGUUUUCUGCCAUUGUUUUUGACAGUUACAUGUCUGUUGACACUUCCCUUUUAAAUAAAGGUGUGUUAGAUUUA